rfam:Rhodoplanes sp. Z2-YC6860, complete genome.
UGGGGAAACGCAGACUCCCCUCUAGACGGUCUCUCACGUCCAAGCUCUGC